rnacentral:rRNA from 1 species
UUGAUCAUGGCUCAGAUUGAACGCUGGCGGCAGGCCUAACACAUGCAAGUCGAGCGGAUGAAGGGAGCUUGCUCCUGGAUUCAGCGGCGGACGGGUGAGUAAUGCCUAGGAAUCUGCCUGGUAGUGGGGGAUAACGUCCGGAAACGGGCGCUAAUACCGCAUACGUCCUGAGGGAGAAAGUGGGGGAUCUUCGGACCUCACGCUAUCAGAUGAGCCUAGGUCGGAUUAGCUAGUUGGUGGGGUAAAGGCCUACCAAGGCGACGAUCCGUAACUGGUCUGAGAGGAUGAUCAGUCACACUGGAACUGAGACACGGUCCAGACUCCUACGGGAGGCAGCAGUGGGGAAUAUUGGACAAUGGGCGAAAGCCUGAUCCAGCCAUGCCGCGUGUGUGAAGAAGGUCUUCGGAUUGUAAAGCACUUUAAGUUGGGAGGAAGGGCAGUAAGUUAAUACCUUGCUGUUUUGACGUUACCAACAGAAUAAGCACCGGCUAACUUCGUGCCAGCAGCCGCGGUAAUACGAAGGGUGCAAGCGUUAAUCGGAAUUACUGGGCGUAAAGCGCGCGUAGGUGGUUCAGCAAGUUGGAUGUGAAAUCCCCGGGCUCAACCUGGGAACUGCAUCCAAAACUACUGAGCUAGAGUACGGUAGAGGGUGGUGGAAUUUCCUGUGUAGCGGUGAAAUGCGUAGAUAUAGGAAGGAACACCAGUGGCGAAGGCGACCACCUGGACUGAUACUGACACUGAGGUGCGAAAGCGUGGGGAGCAAACAGGAUUAGAUACCCUGGUAGUCCACGCCGUAAACGAUGUCGACUAGCCGUUGGGAUCCUUGAGAUCUUAGUGGCGCAGCUAACGCGAUAAGUCGACCGCCUGGGGAGUACGGCCGCAAGGUUAAAACUCAAAUGAAUUGACGGGGGCCCGCACAAGCAGUGGAGCAUGUGGUUUAAUUCGAAGCAACGCGAAGAACCUUACCUGGCCUUGACAUGCUGAGAACUUUCCAGAGAUGGAUUGGUGCCUUCGGGAACUCAGACACAGGUGCUGCAUGGCUGUCGUCAGCUCGUGUCGUGAGAUGUUGGGUUAAGUCCCGUAACGAGCGCAACCCUUGUCCUUAGUUACCAGCACCUCGGGUGGGCACUCUAAGGAGACUGCCGGUGACAAACCGGAGGAAGGUGGGGAUGACGUCAAGUCACCAUGGCCCUUACGGCCAGGGCUACACACGUGCUACAAUGGUCGGUACAAAGGGUUGCCAAGCCGCGAGGUGGAGCUAAUCCCAUAAAACCGAUCGUAGUCCGGAUCGCAGUCUGCAACUCGACUGCGUGAAGUCGGAAUCGCUAGUAAUCGUGAAUCAGAAUGUCACGGUGAAUACGUUCCCGGGCCUUGUACACACCGCCCGUCACACCAUGGGAGUGGGUUGCUCCAGAAGUAGCUAGUCUAACCGCAAGGGGGACGGUUACCACGGAGUGAUUCAUGACUGGGGUGAAGUCGUAACAAGGUAGCCG